AUACGGAGGGUGCAAGCGUUAUUCGGAAUCACUGGGCGUAAAGGACACGUAGGCGGGAAGCCAAGUCUGAUGUGAAAUCCUACAGCUUAACUGUAGAACUGCAUUGGAAACUGGUUACCUAGAGUAUGGGAGGGGGAGAUGGAAUUAGUGGUGUAGGGGUAAAAUCCGUAGAUAUCACUAGGAAUACCUAAAGCGAAGGCGAUCUCCUGGAACAUUACUGACGCUAAGGUGUGAAAGCGUGGGGAGCAAACGGGAUUAGAUACCCUAGUAGUCCC
rnacentral:rRNA from 1 species